GGCCUACCAUGGUGGUAACGGGUAACGGGGUGUUAGGGCACGACACCGGAGAGGGAGCCUGAGAAACGGCUACCACAUCCAAGGAUGGCAGCAGGCGCGCAAAUUACCCAAUCCCGACACGGGGAGGUAGUGACAAUAAAUAACAAUACGGGGUUCUUUCGGAUCUCGUAAUUGGAAUGAGUACAAUUUAAAUCUCUUAACGAGGAACAAUUGGAGGGCAAGUCUGGUGCCAGCAGCCGCGGUAAUUCCAGCUCCAAUAGCGUAUAUUAAAGUUGUUGCAGUUAAAAAGCUCGUAGUUGAAUUUCGGGACCAAUUUGUUGGUCGUGCCUCGGUACGUACUGGUAUUAUUGGUUUCUCCCUUCUGAAGAACCUUGAUGUCAUUAAUUUGGUGUCUUGGGGAAUCAGGACUGUUACUUUGAAAAAAUUAGAGUGUUUAAAGCAGGCAUACGCUUGAAUACAUUAGCAUGGAAUAAUGAAAUAGGACGUUUGAUUCUAUUUUGUUGGUUUCUAGGAUCGACGUAAUGAUUAAUAGGGAUAGUUGGGGGCAUUAGUAUUCAAUUGUCAGAGGUGAAAUUCUUGGAUUUAUUGAAGACUAACUACUGCGAAAGCAUUUGCCAAGGAUGUUUUCAUUAAUCAAGAACGAAAGUUAGGGGAUCGAAGACGAUCAGAUACCGUCGUAGUCUUAACCAUAAACUAUGCCGACUAGGGAUCGGAUGAUGUUAAUUUUUUAAUGACUCAUUCGGCGCCUUACG
rnacentral:rRNA from 2 species